CAGUUUGUCAAAUCUAGGUCAGUGUGUGGUUCUGGAUAGCGUUGAGGUAGGCAGUGACGGAAGUACCUAGUGAUACAACGAAAUAGGGGUACGCAGUGGUAAGGCUUUUUUAAUCCACGACCUCUUUACCACAUUAGACUGAGAUCUCUGUAAAUCCCGCCGUAUACCACCGUCUACCUAAUUAAUCCACCAUGUAUGUGGCCUAGUUAAAAAUUUCAUAAUCUGCGAUUUCAGUAUUUACAUCACAAUCAACCACUAUUUCAUUGCUUGCCCGCUUUCAUCCCAGCAAGGUAAAACUAGGCAAAAAAAUUUUUAUUCUUUUUUAAAAAUUUAAAAAUUAAAAUUAAACAUAAGGAUGGAUUUAGUAUGAGAGAAAAAUAGCCAAGCGGUUAAUCGGACGUUUUUCCUUGUUCAUAAAGUGGGAAAGUGGGGCAGCUGCUCUAGUUGUAGAUGCAGUGUAGGUCGGUUUUGCACAACAAAAUCCUAAUUUUGUCAUUGCAAAAAGGCAAACAAAAAUUUGUGUGCAACGAUGAAGUGAUUAGAUGAAACGAGGCGCGCCUAUGGAGCAAUAAAGCGCUUUGUUUGUUAAAAAUGCUUUUGAAUUAGAGUUAUGGAUGAACAAAGUCAACACAUUCAUAUGUACUAAAUAAUAUUAAGACGCAGUAUGAAACAUACAUAAUUCAACGUUGCGAUACCGAACAGCAUCUACCCAAUCUUGAAAAAAAAAUUAAAAUUUACUCUUUAUGUUGUUUGAUAAUUUGGCAGGAGAAUAGAUAAGUCAAGUCAUCAAGUAAUUAAUUUUAUUAGUUAGUUUGAGAGUAAUCUCGUACUGUAAGCAUAAUAAUGCAUGCUAUAAUAUUGGGUACUCAGUUCUCUAAUUAUUAUACAUAGUACUUACACAGAUGAUCAUCAUUACCAUUGCUUAGCAAAAUUGGCAAUCAUAAACAACAGAUAUUUCUACCACUGCUAUAGCGCUAUACAUCAUUCGAAUUUUGAGUGGACUUUUGCUCAAGACUUAUUUGUCGAAGAAACGAAUGAAAAUCCACCCCUUCGUCUAAUUUCUCUCCCCAAACAUGGAGAAAUCAAAUCUAUG